rnacentral:tRNA from 1 species
GUUGCCCGUGGCGGAAUGGGCCGAGCUGCGCCGCACCGCUCCGGUGUGGUGGGUCGACCAGCCCGACGGCACCAGCGGGUUCGACGACGGCGGGUACUG